AAUUAUUGUUUCUGGGAUUAUGGAUUUAAAUUGGGAUAGCUUUCGAUUUUUGUUUAAAUCUUUCCACCUUUUUAGGAUGCUUCUCUGAAAACAACAAAUUAAGUGAAUGUUCAGCGGCGAGCAUGUAAGUUUCAACUUUCUCUUUAUACACCAUUUCUUUUAAAAGAAAAAAGAAAGAUUAGUUUUGAUGCUUUGUUGUGAAAGUUAGUGAUGUUGAAAUAAUUGUUGAAUAUAAUUAAUGGCUAUUCAUUUUUAGUGUAUUAGACUUUGCAUCGUGUUUUGCUGGUACCUUUCAGAUAAAUAGAACAGAGAAUAGGUCAGUUCUUCAUGUAGCUGUCCCGGCACCGUGAGAUGCUGUUAUGUUCGCGAUGGAAAGAAUGUGGUGCCAGAUGUUUUUAAUGUUCUGGAUAAGAUCAUGGAAUUUUCAGAGAAAGUUCUCAGUGGCUCCUCCUGGGGAGCUUCCUGUUUUCUUAAACAUCUAGUCGAAUAUGCUGUUCCUCAAUUGCUGAUAUGCAGGUAAAUGUUGGCAGGUUGGAGCUACCUAAAACCACCGAAGGAUAUGUUUGCAAUUGGCAUUGAUGCCAGUUUCUUAGGUCCUUUAUUUGUUCAUUUGGCUCUCCAAACAGUCUUGACGACUCACAGACCCUCAGGCUGUUGAAUUUGCUAAAGGACGCCAUCUAUGUUUGUAAGUAGUUGUUUAUUACUGCAACUGGUAUGUUUCUGUGUUCUUUCUUUCUUCCAUUGGGUAAUUAGUGUCAAAAAAGAAGAAGAGAUGGACCAACUUGAUAAAGUGAAAAUGUAUUUUCUCCUUUUUCUUGAAUCAGAUAGCCUAUCGUUCAUAGCUUGUUUUCUUCACUUCUCAUUAACUGCUAAAGCUCUUAUAAAUAUUGCUUCAUAUAACAUAUGAUAUGGUACACUGGUAUCUAUACUAUUCUGCUUAUAAAUGUUUCCUAUGCAGCUUGUUAAAAAGUUUGGCAUUGAUCCUAACGAUGCUUUUGCAUUCUGGGACUGGGUUGGUGGUCAUUACAGUGGUUUUUAAUGGGGACUUCAAGCAUUGAUCAACAUUUCCAUUCAGCUCCUUUCAAGAAUAAUAUAUUAUACCUAAUACAGGAAUUUAGAUUGUGCGCCAAUUGAUGGUGUGCUGCUUCCUUACGAGGCUGGUGAAAGGCAAAUCUGGAACAAAUGGCUAACACAAGUUUUAUCAACUAGUCAACCAGGUGAAUUGUCUGUUGCAUCUUGCAUAUGGUAGAAGAAUAUUAGGAGAUUUGUGUUUCAUAUAUAACAUCUUAGACCGCCUUGAAGGUGCUAAAUUAUAUAUUUGACCCUGGACCUGCAAAGCUAUGGAUCUCUGCCCCUAGGAAAAAUAAGAUGCUUGUGCAAAAAAUAAAGACCAGAAAGCUUUGUUGGAGACUGGCCAGAUAUGGCACAUUAUUCUUGUUAGUUACCAUGACAAAUUUAAAGAAGUACUAAAUGUACUUGGAGAAAUUGAAUUGGUUUAUUAAAAACUGCUUUUGAAUGUUAUUCACCAUAAUAUGGGUUCCAACUCUUGAGAGUUCAUUGCCUUAACUGCUCAAAUCUUUACCUUUAGCUCUGAUGGAAGAAACGAUUCUGCCACUGCAUAACCUCAUAUUAUAAAUAGAUUCAGCUUUUGGUACUCUCUAGUUAUCAUGCUGAAGUGGUAAAGUGCAUGGGGUAGGGAUGGUUGUUCAACUUUUGGUAUUUGUAGAAUCAAGCUGUCCUAAACUGCAAGGUCAAGCUAUAAGCAUUUUAAGUUCUCGUUUGACAUUGCCAGGGACGUGUAAUUCUAUGUGAUUUCAUUGGUAUUUCAAGAGCGGUUAACCUGGGUACCUUAAUGGUAUAAUCCAAUCUAUUACUGUACCAAUUACUAACUGGACCAUGUACUUUGUUGUUUAUGUUGCAUCUUUUAACUCAAAGUCGUCAUCAUUAUCAUUAUAUUGGCAGGUGAAGUUGUGACUGGUGAGUAAUCAUUGAUGCCUCCCUUAUGGGAAGACAGCAGAGAAAUUGAGGAAGGGGAAUGUUCCACAGCAUCUUAUUCCGCAUAAGGUGGCUCUUAGCUUUUGUCCCAAGCCUUUUAGUUCAUAACAGGAUUAAUGCCCUAACCAUUAUUAUAUUCCUUAGACAUUCUCUAGAUAUGGACCUUCUCUGUCUUUUGCUUCCAUCUCGUAUGCUUACAACAUUGGGCAGGUGAGUAGCUUAUUCUCUUAAAUUUGACUUAACGAAGCAUUCACUGAAAAAAGUAACACUGCCCGUUUACUGAAAAUGUUAUAAAAUUACCCAUUGGAUUUAAUAAAAUUAUGACAUCGGACGUCCAAUAGCAGUUUCGAGUAAAUGCACAAAACCAUUAACCUGUUUUUUUCCACUGUUUGACAUGUUGAAGCUCAUUUUUUAACGUUUUAUGAUUUUCUCAGCCACGCACGUUCUUAUUGCAAAAUGUGAAAAAUAAGGGGGGAAAGAUGAACUUGAAGCUCAUGAUCAACGGCACAGCAAAUAUAUUAUAGGCAAUAAACCAUAUAAAUCCACAAAAUAGCACAGGUUGAACAGUAGUGCAAAUAUCCAUGAUAGAGCUCAGUUACUGCCUGCUUAAUAUGCUACCAUUGACCCAUUCAGGGUUUCUUACAAGACAAUAACCGAUAAGCAAAACAAAGCUUUGUUUCACCGGUAGGCAGUAGUCCCCCAAACCUAACCUCUAAAACAAACCCCUAAUCCUAAAGCUAACGCUAAUCCAUUAUUACAUUUGGGAAAAAAAACCCAGAGAUUUAAACGCCAGUAGAUCCAAAUCCCCCAGCACCUCUAGUAGUAGAAUCCAGAUCAUCAACUUCCAAAACAUCAGGUGUCAUGAUCUUCUCAAUGAUCAACUGGGAAAUUCUGUCACCCA